GGAUGCGAUCAUACAAGCACUAAUACACCGGAUCCCAUCAGGACAUCGCAGUUAAGCGUGCUUGGGUGAGAGUAGUUCUAGGAUGGGUGACCUCACAGGAAGUCCUCGUGUUUCAUCCC
rfam:Arabidopsis thaliana chromosome 5, complete sequence.